AUUGAACGCUGGCGGCAGGCCUAACACAUGCAAGUCGAGCGGAGCGGCGGACGGGUGAGUACUGCCUAGGAAUCUACAUGGUAGUGAGGGAUCACGUCCGGGAACGGGCGCUUAUACCGCAUGCUAUCAGGUGAGCCUAGGUCGGAUUAGCUAGUUGGUGGGGUAAAGGCCUACCAAGGCGACGAGCCGUAACCGGUCUGAGAGGAUGAUCAGUCACACUGGAACUGAGACACGGCCCAGACGCCUACGGGAGGCAGCAGUGGGGAAUAUUGGGCAAUGGGCGAAAGUCUGAUCCAGCAAUGCCGCGUGAGUGAAGAAGGUUUUCGGAUCGUAAAGCUCUUUAAGUUGAGAGGCGUUACCAACAGAAUAAGCACCGGCUAACUACGUGCCAGCAGCCGCGGUAAUUC
rnacentral:rRNA from 1 species